UAUGUGAUCGUCUCUCGCAUAUCAAUAAGCGGAGGAAAAGAAACUAACAAGGAUUCCCCUAGUAACGGCGAGUGAAGCGGGAAGAGCUCAAAUUUGAAAUCUUAAAGGGUAUCCCUUUACGAAUUGUAGUUUAAAGAAGUGUUUUCUGUUGAGGUUUUGGUAAAAGUUCUUUGGAAUAGGACAUCAUAGAGGGUGAGAAUCCCGUAUUUGACCUUUACUUUCAACUUUGUGAUACACUUUCAAAGAGUCGGAUUGUUUGGGAAUGCAGUCCAAAAUGGGUGGUAAAUUUCAUCUAAAGCUAAAUAUUGGCGAGAGACCGAUAGCGAACAAGUACCGUGAGGGAAAGAUGAAAAGAACUUUGAAAAGAGAGUUAAACAGUACGUGAAAUUGUCAAAAGGGAAGCGUUUGACACCAGUGUUGUUUUUCUGAAAAUCAAUUAAAGAACUGUUUAUGCUAAGUUGUUUAGACUUUAUCAGCUAACUGUUUAGUUUUGAGCUUUUCUUUAAUGCACUUUUCAGUUAACAAGUCAACAUCAAUUUCUUUUGCUGUAAAAAAGCUUGAGGAAGGUGGCUUGAGAUUCGUCUUAAGUGUUUAUAGCCUCUUGCCUAUGCAGUCGGAGAGAUUGAGGUCUGCAGCGUAGAUCCUUCGGGGCUAAAUGCAUUUGUGCUAAGUUAUAGCAUUUUAUAGACAACUUGUUGACUAUGAUUUGUCUUGUAGCUUACUCGCUUAUGUUAUUUUACCUACGCUUAGGAUGUUGAGUAGCGACAUACGCAC
rnacentral:rRNA from 1 species